AUUGAACGCUGGCGGAAUGCUUUACACAUGCAAGUCGAACGGUAGAGGGGGCAACCCCUCGAGAGUGGCGAACGGGUGAGUAAUAUAUCGGAACGUGCCCAGUCGUGGGGGAUAACGUAGCGAAAGUUACGCUAAUACCGCAUACGAUCUAAGGAUGAAAGCGGGGGAUCGCAAGACCUCGCGCGAUUGGAGCGGCCGAUAUCAGAUUAGGUUGUUGGUGAGGUAAAAGCUCACCAAGCCUGCGAUCUGUAGCUGGUCUGAGAGGACGACCAGCCACACUGGAACUGAGACACGGUCCAGACUCCUACGGGAGGCAGCAGUGGGGAAUUUUGGACAAUGGACGCGAGUCUGAUCCAGCAAUGCCGCGUGCAGGACGAAGGCCUUCGGGUUGUAAACUGCUUUUGUACGGAACGAAACGGUGAGCUCUAAUACAGUUUGCUAAUGACGGUACCGUAAGAAUAAGCACCGGCUAACUACGUGCCAGCCGCCGCCGUAA
rnacentral:rRNA from 1 species